UAGUCUGAUUUCUCUUCAGAAUGCAUAAAUCCUUCUCCUUUUACUAAAGAUUUCCGUGGAGAGGAUCAAUAGUGGAUGGGCAAUAGGAAGUUCACCCCAGGGCUCACUUCAGUGGCCUUG